rnacentral:lncRNA from 1 species
AUGACACGACCCCAAGAUCCAAUCAGUUCAAGCAAUAUGGAAUCCUGGCCAAGAAGUACACCAAGUUUUCCUGGUUUGACCUCUUGCCUCUUCUGGAUAUUCAUGGAGGAGAGUGCUCUGGCUGUGAUACUGCUUGAUUCCAUUAGAUAUUAUUCAGCUAACUUGACUGUAUGGGUGAAUAUCUACUCACGCUGGGACAAUGAGCCUGUCUACAGAAAUUUGGAUAUUUUCCCAUGUUCUUCCGGCUUUAGUGGCUAGAACUUUGAAUGUAAUGCCACAGAUUGUGAAGGCUCAUUUUCCACCAUGGCAUCUGAAAAGUUGAGAAAAGUGGAGUGCAGCGAGGAAGAAAAAAGCAGAUGUUAUAGUGGAACAGACACAGAGGUGACAGAACAUCUCAUUGUGCCCUUGCCUCUCCGUACCUGGAUUGCACACCUCUGUUCUCCUAACAAUAAAUUCUUUUUUCAAGUCA